UCCCUGGUGGUCCAGUGGUUAGAACUCUGCACUUUCACUGCUGGGGCCCAGGUUCAGUCCCUGGUUGGGGAA
rnacentral:tRNA from 1 species